rnacentral:rRNA from 1 species
CCUACGGGAGGCAGCAGUAGGGAAUCUUCCGCAAUGGACGAAAGUCUGACGGAGCAACGCCGCGUGAGUGAUGAAGGUUUUCGGAUCGUAAAACUCUGUUGUCAGGGAAGAACAAGUACCGUUCUAACAGGGCGGUGCCUUGACGGUACCUGACCAGAAAGCCCCGGCUAACUACGUGCCAGCAGCCGCGGUAAU